GGCUUCGUGGCUCAGCUGGUAGAGCGCUUGCUGCAUUUUUGCAUGGUGUUUCUCUCGCUGGUUCGAAUACAGUCGAAGCCC